GCUGAAAUAGCUCAGCUGGGAGCGUGUUAGACUGAAGAUCUAAAGGUUCCUGGUUCAAUCCUGGGUUUCGGCA